UGUUAAAAGUUUCAUCUAUUUGUAUGAUUAAAAGUUUCCAUGAUUGACAGAAUAACUAAAUAGUGACACGUGACGUAUCACGAGUACCUCAUGCUGACAUAUAGGAACCAACUUUUAACAACAGAAAUAGAUGAAACUUAUAACA
rfam:Gossypium raimondii Chr02_contig_728, whole genome shotgun sequence.